CGGAAAAGCUCAUGAAGUAUCUGCCCCAGCAUUAAUCAAAGGCAUUAGAAUUAUGAACGAGCCCAUAACCCUUUGACAGCCUUCCAGUAUGAACAGCCAACUUCAGCAUAUGAGACUAAGACGAAACGUACCUGAACCAAUUAUGACUUCAUGGCACUGAUAUGAAUGUAAGAGUAACAAAAGCAAAAAGACCCAGGGUUCACCUGACCACCACACCCCAGAUAGAGUCCCACCUUUCAGCUACUCCUCACUUACUGGUCUCUGAAAUUUCUAAGGCUUCAGAAGAUACCCCAUUUUUUAACAAGAAAAGGAAGGAAGGAAGGAAGGAAGGAAGGAACUGACAUAUAAAUAAAACAUUGAAUCAGGCAGUUAUUACAAGACUUCCCCUAAAACACAACCAUUUGCAAACCUCUAUCAAAGAAGAAUACAGAAUUUCUCUGGAAGAGGAAGAGAAGGCAGAUUUAUACAAACUCAGUGCCUAGAAUCUGGAUCCCAGUGGAGCAGGUCCCACUUCUGGCUAGCUUUUUCUGGGGACCUGAGAAGUGGGGUCUGGAUUAGCCUGAGAUCUUCUUUCCCAAAGAAAAAUGCCAAAGGCUAUGUACCCUCUUAUGGAUGCUGAUAUUGUUAAUUAGCGAGCUCUAACACACUGUUGUCAUAGGGUAUCCCCACAUGAACCAAGGCUCUGGACCAGAAAAGGAGAUGUCUCUCAAUUAUAUCUCAUUGCAGCAGCGAGUCUCUUGCUCUCUCUGCCAUUUACUGUCACUGGUCAAAACCCUGGUGGUUCUUUCUUGGAAAUUCAGACUCAAAAUGAAGACUGGUUUGCAAACUCCCCAAAUGCAUUGGAAUAGCCAGGCCUAGAGAGAAAUUAACAAGUAGCAGUUUACCCAAAUGUAAUCAUGAACCAGUCCUCAAACUCAAAAGGAAAGGAAUUCAGAGUAAAAUUGAUGAAAACUGAAUCCAAUUUUCAGAGUAUCAACGGCAUGAGGUUCAUUACCUAUAUAAAGGAAAGAAGAAAGGGAAGCAGAAAGAGGACAUGGAGGAGGGAGAGAAGGAGAAGAAUAUGUAGGUAUGAGAAAAUACUAAAAAGAAAAAUAAG
rnacentral:lncRNA from 12 species